rnacentral:tRNA from 1 species
AGAAUUUUAGUUUAAAUUAAAAUUUAAUAAUUACAAUAUUAAGAUAUAUAAAAUAUAAAUUUUU